rnacentral:rRNA from 1 species
AUUGAACGCUGGCGGCAGGCCUAACACAUGCAAGUCGAGCGGAUGAAGGGAGCUUGCUCCUGGAUUCAGCGGCGGACGGGUGAGUAAUGCCUAGGAAUCUGCCUGGUAGUGGGGGAUAACGUCCGGAAACGGGCGCUAAUACCGCAUACGGCCUGAGGGAGAAAGUGGGGGAUCUUCGGACCUCACGCUAUCAGAUGAGCCUAGGUCGGAUUAGCUAGUUGGUGGGGUAAAGGCCUACCAAGGCGACGAUCCGGAACUGGUCUGAGAGGAUGAUCAGUCACACUGGAACUGAGACACGGUCCAGACUCCUACGGGAGGCAGCAGUGGGGAAUAUUGGACAAUGGGCGAAAGCCUGAUCCAGCCAUGCCGCGUGUGUGAAGAAGGUCUUCGGAUUGUAAAGCACUUUAAGUUGGGAGGAAGGGCAGUAAGUUAAUACCUUGCUGUUUUGACGUUACCAACAGAAUAAGCACCGGCUAACUUCGUG